UUCGUAAAAUUUUUAUAUUGA
rnacentral:piRNA from 1 species